rnacentral:lncRNA from 1 species
GCGUUAUCUUCAACGUUCAGGUAGAUCCACAUAAUCAGGGAGCUAUGCUUUUAUUUUUCUUUAGCAAUGUAGCAUAUUGCAUUUGUAAAUGUUGCUUUCCUUUAUACUUUCAUAGGUUUGAAAUUAAUUCUAGAUUAUGUUUUGACAUGUGGGGAGUUAGAUUAGAAGCCAUAAAAACAAACUAAGGCAGAAGAGCCUUUCUGAUGGUCAAGCCUUGCUGCAACUUGGCUACAGACAACACAAAGGUGGAGGUUGGUUUCUGGUACAAGUUGAACAUCCAUAAAAGAGGGAAGAUGAAAGAAUAUUUAGAUUAAAGAGGUAAUAUUUGACUUUGUAUAGGGUGAAGUGGAGUAUAUAUAGCUAACACCAAAGUGAUGUUAUAGGGUUUCUUGAUUGUGUUUUUUAAGAAUAAACUAAUAAAUACGAUCUCUUCCUCAUAAAUAUAACUGUUAGUG